rnacentral:sRNA from 1 species
ACUAGGCAUGGUGGUGCAUUCCUGUGAUCCCAGCAGCUUGGAGGCUGAGGCAGGAGGAUGGCAAGUUUGAGGUCAGCCUCAGCAACUUAGUAAGACCCUGCCUCAA